UGUCGUCAGCUCGUGUCGUGAGAUGUUGGGUUAAGUCCCGCAACGAGCGCAACCCUUAUCAUUAGUUGUUACCAUUUAGUUGAGCACUCUAAUGAGACUGCCGUGGUUAACGCGGAGGAAGGUGGGGAUGACGUCAAAUCAUCAUGCCCCUUAUGUCUAGGGCUACACACGUGCUACAAUGGUGAGUACAAAGAGACGCAAUACCGCGAGGUGGAGCAAAACUCAAAAACUCAUCCCAGUUCGGAUUGUAGGCUGAAACUCGCCUACAUGAAGCCGGAGUUGCUAGUAAUCGCGAAUCAGCAUGUCGCGGUGAAUACGUUCCCGGGCCUUGUACACACCGCCCGUCACACCAUGAGAGUUUGCAACACCCGAAGUCCGUGAGGUAACCCGUAAGGGAGCCAGCGGCCGAAGGUGGGGCCGAUGAUUGGGGUGG
rnacentral:rRNA from 1 species